GUCUCCGGCCAUACCACCCUGAACGUGCCCGAUCUCGUCUGAUCUCAGAAGCUAAGCAGGGUCGGACCUGGUUAGUACUUGGAUGGAGACUUCCUGGGAAUACCAGGUGCUCUAGGCU
ensembl:rRNA 5S_rRNA 5S ribosomal RNA